rnacentral:rRNA from 1 species
AUACGGAGGAUCCGAGCGUUAUCCGGAUUUAUUGGGUUUAAAGGGUGCGCAGGCGGGAGAUUAAGUCGGCGGUGGAAUUUUGCAGCCCAAAUGUAAAAGGGUCUUUGCAACUGGUUUUCUUGAGUGGAGAUUAAGAAGGGGGAAUUUGUGGGGUAGCGGUGAAAUGCAUAGAUAUCACGAGGAACUCCGAUUGCGCAGGCAGCUUACUAAACUACUACUGACGCUCAGGCACGAAGGCGUGGGGAUCAAACAGGAUUAGAUACCCUGGUAGUCCACGCAGUAAACGAUGAUUACUAGCUGUUUGCGAUACAAUGUAAGCGGCUGAGCGAAAGCGUUAAGUAAUCCACUUGGGGAGUACGUUCGCAAGAAUGAAACUCAAAUGAAUUGGCGGGG